GACGAACGCUGGCGGCGUGCUUAACACAUGCAAGUCGAACGGUAAGGCUCCAGCUUGCUGGGGUACACGAGUGGCGAACGGGUGAGUAACACGUGGGUGACCUGCCCUGCACUUCGGGAUAAGCCUGGGAAACUGGGUCUAAUACCGGGUAGGACCAUGGUGUGGAUACUGUGGUGGAAAGUUUUUUCGGUGUGGGAUGGGCCCGCGGCCUAUCAGCUUGUUGGUGGGGUAAUGGCCUACCAAGGCGGCGACGGGUAGCCGGCCUGAGAGGGUGGACGGCCACAUUGGGACUGAGACACGGCCCAGACUCCUACGGGAGGCAGCAGUGGGGAAUAUUGCACAAUGGGCGGAAGCCUGAUGCAGCGACGCCGCGUGGGGGAUGACGGCCUUCGGGUUGUAAACUCCUUUCACCAUCGACGAAGGGUUUCUGACGGUAGAUGGAGAAGAAGCACCGGCUAACUACGUG
rnacentral:rRNA from 1 species